AUCUCUCUAGCUCCAUGGUAGAGCUUCUGCUCUACAUGCAGAAGGUUACAGGUUCAAUCCCUGGUAUCACCUGGGAAGGAUU